GACGAACGCUGGCGGCGUGCUUAACACAUGCAAGUCGAACGGAAAGGCCCUGCUUUUGUGGGGUGCUCGAGGGGCGAACGGGUGAGUAACACGUGAGUAACCUGCCCUUGACUUUGGGAUAACUUCAGGAAACUGGGGCUAAUACCGGAUAGGAGAUCCUGCUGCAUGGUGGGGGGUGGAAAGUUUCGGCGGUUGGGGAUGGACUCGCGGCUUAUCAGCUAGUUGGUGGGGUAGUGGCUUACCAAGGCUUUGACGGGUAGCCGGCCUGAGAGGGUGACCGGCCACAUUGGGACUGAGAUACGGCCCAUACUCAUACGGGAGGCAGCAGUGGGGAAUAUUGCACAAUGGGCGGAGGCCUGAUGCAGCAACGCCGCGUGCGGGAUGACGGCCUUCGGGUUGGAAACCGCUUUCGCCUGUGACGAAGCGUGAGUGACGGUAAUGGGUAAAGAAGCACCGGCUAACUACGU
rnacentral:rRNA from 1 species